rnacentral:rRNA from 1 species
AGUUAAAAAGCUCGUAGUUGGAUUUCUGGCAGGAGCGACCUGUCGCGCACUCUGUGCGUGAACUUGGUUGUCUCUGGCCAUCCUUGGGGAGAUCCUGUUUGGCAUUAAGUUGUCGGGCAGGGGAUACCCAUCGUUUACUGUGAAAAAAUUAGAGUGUUUAAAGCAGGCUUAUGCCGUUGAAUAUAUUAGCAUGGAAUAAUAAGAUAGGACUUCGGAACUAUUUUGUUGGUUUGCGUUACGAAGUAAUGAUUAAUAGGGACAGUUGGGGGUAUUYGUAUUCCGUUGUCAGAGGUGAAAUUCUUUGAUUUCCGGAAGACGAACUACUGCGAAAGCAUUUACC